UACAUAGGGGGACUGAGAGGUUAACCCCCCACACUGGUACUGAGACACGGACCAGACUCCUACGGGAGGCAGCAGUGAGGAAUAUUGGUCAAUGGACGAGAGUCUGAACCAGCCAAGUAGCGUGAAGGAUGAAGGUUUAUGGAUUGUAAACUUCUUUUAUACGGGAAUAACGGAUCCACGUGUGGAUUUUUGCAUGUACCGUAUGAAUAAGGAUCGGCUAACUCCGUGCCAGCAGCCGCGGUAAUACGGAGGAUCCGAGCGUUAUCCGGAUUUAUUGGGUUUAAAGGGAGCGUAGAUGGGUUGUUAAGUCAGUUGUGAAAGUUUGCGGCUCAACCGUAAAAUUGCAAUUGAUACUGGCAGUCUUGAGUACAGUUGAGGCAGGCGGAAUUCGUGGUGUAGCGGUGAAAUGCUUAGAUAUCACGAAGAACUUUGAUUGCGAAGGCAGCUUACUAACCUGUAACUGACGUUGAUGCUCGAAAGUGUGGGUAUCAAACAGGAUUAGAUAC
rnacentral:rRNA from 1 species